rnacentral:lncRNA from 1 species
GAUAUUUUAUAAAUAAUAUGCAUAUCUUUUUAAUAAAAAAUAGAUCAUAUCAAAUAAAAUGUUUAAAUAGCCAUAAUGUGUAGAAAAAUUUUAAAAUAACAAUUAAAAUCUCAAAUCAAUAUGAAAAGCACAUUUAAACUUUAUACGCAGAUCUUAUCACUCUAAAUCUUCAUCACCUUUUAAAAAAUUAUAUACACAUUACGUAAAAGUUAUAUUUUGAAAUACAAAUUUCAGAAACGAAAAUGUUUCAAUUAUUUAAAGUCUUCAAAACAAGUGAUCAUGAAAAAAAAAUUAAAAAAAUGAGAAGUAGACCAAAGUAAUAUCUUGAUGUGAAUAUUAAACUUUGUGAAUCUUGUAAUUUAUGAGUUGCAGAGACGACAAAAAAAAAAGUCGAGAGAUGAUACUUUAUUAAUCUUUGAUAAAUUUUAUUUUUACUUAAAAAGAAGAAAAUUAAUUGUUUCAUUAAUAAAAUUUUGGCUUAUAUACGAACCGGGGUUUGGCCGGUUCAUUGGG